UAUUAUGAGAGUUUGAUCCUGGCUCAGGACGAACGCUGGCGGCGUGCCUAAUACAUGCAAGUCGAACGCUUCUUUCCUCCCGAGUGCUUGCACUCAAUUGGAAAGAGGAGUGGCGGACGGGUGAGUAACACGUGGGUAACCUACCCAUCAGAGGGGGAUAACACUUGGAAACAGGUGCUAAUACCGCAUAACAGUUUAUGCCGCAUGGCAUAAGAGUGAAAGGCGCUUUCGGGUGUCGCUGAUGGAUGGACCCGCGGUGCAUUAGCUAGUUGGUGAGGUAACGGCUCACCAAGGCCACGAUGCAUAGCCGACCUGAGAGGGUGAUCGGCCACACUGGGACUGAGACACGGCCCAGACUCCUACGGGAGGCAGCAGUAGGGAAUCUUCGGCAAUGGACGAAAGUCUGACCGAGCAACGCCGCGUGAGUGAAGAAGGUUUUCGGAUCGUAAAACUCUGUUGUUAGAGAAGAACAAGGACGUUAGUAACUGAACGUCCCCUGACGGUAUCUAACCAGAAAGCCACGGCUAACUACGUGCCAGCAGCCGCGGUAAUACGUAGGUGGCAAGCGUUGUCCGGAUUUAUUGGGCGUAAAGCGAGCGCAGGCGGUUUCUUAAGUCUGAUGUGAAAGCCCCCGGCUCAACCGGGGAGGGUCAUUGGAAACUGGGAGACUUGAGUGCAGAAGAGGAGAGUGGAAUUCCAUGUGUAGCGGUGAAAUGCGUAGAUAUAUGGAGGAACACCAGUGGCGAAGGCGGCUCUCUGGUCUGUAACUGACGCUGAGGCUCGAAAGCGUGGGGAGCAAACAGGAUUAGAUACCCUGGUAGUCCACGCCGUAAACGAUGAGUGCUAAGUGUUGGAGGGUUUCCGCCCUUCAGUGCUGCAGCAAACGCAUUAAGCACUCCGCCUGGGGAGUACGACCGCAAGGUUGAAACUCAAAGGAAUUGACGGGGGCCCGCACAAGCGGUGGAGCAUGUGGUUUAAUUC
rnacentral:rRNA from 9 species